CCUACGGGGGGCUGCAGUAGGGAAUAUUAGUAAUGGGCGAAAGCCUGAACUAGCGACACCGCGUGUGCGAAGAAGGCCUUCGGGUUGUAAAGCACUUUUAGAGAGGAUGAGGAAGGACGGUACUCUCUGAAUAAGUCUCGGCUAACUACGUGCCAGCAGCCGCGGUAACACGUAGGAGGCAAACGUUAUCCGGAUUUACUGGGCGUAAAGCGCGUGUAGGUGGUUCUGUAAGUAGGGCGUGAAAGCUCCUGGCUCAACUGGGAGAGGCCGUUCUAAACUGCAGAGCUAGAGGAUGGUAGAGGAAGGUGGAAUUCCGGGUGUAGCGGUGGAAUGCGCAGAUAUCCGGAGGAACACCAGUGGCGAAGGCGGCCUUCUGGACCAUUCCUGACACUCAGACGCGAAAGCUAGGGUAGCAAACGGGAUUAGAUACCCCAGUAGUC
rnacentral:rRNA from 1 species